rnacentral:rRNA from 1 species
GCCUUUUUAAUUUGCAUUUCUUACGCACCCGAUCUCGUCUGUUCUUGGAAGCUAAGCAGGGUUGGACCUGGUUAGUACUUGGAUGGGAUACUGCCUGGGAACAUUGGGUGCUGUAGGCU